rnacentral:rRNA from 1 species
GGCGUGCCUAAUACAUGCAAGUCGAGCGAUAAGGCUCCUUCCGGAGGUACGAUCAACGGGGAACGGGGUGAGUAACACGUGGGUGACAUGCCGCGAGAAGGGAUACCGGUGGAAAAGGGGGCUAUUACCCCAUGUGCUCGCCGAUUCGGUUCAUCGGAGUAAAGCUCCGGCGCUUCGGGAGAUGCCUGCGGACCAUCAGCUAGGUGGGACGGUAACGGCCUAGCACGGCAGAGACGGGUAGGGGGCGUGAGAACGCGGACCCCCACACUGGCGCUGAGAUACGGGCCAGACUCCUACGGGAGGCAGCAGUAAGGGAUAUUGCGCAGCUGGACGAGACUCAAACGCAGCGACGCCGCCUGGGCUAUGAAGGCCUUCGGGUUGUAAAGCCCUUUAAUGGGGGAAGAGAAAAAGGACGGUACCCCAGGAAUAAUUCCCGGCUGACUACGUGCCAGCAGUCGCGGUACAACGUAGGGGACAAGCGUCGUCCGGAUUCACUGGGCGUAACGAGCGUCGAGGCGGGUCCGUAAGUUGGGCCUGAAAGCUCCGGGCUUCACUCGGAGAUGUCGUUCAAUACUGCAGGGCUAGAGGACAGCAGAGGCAGGUGGAAUUCCCGGUGUAGUGGUGAAAUGCGUAGAUGUCGGGAGGAACACCCGUGGCGGAGGCGGCCUUCUGGGCUGCUCCUGACGCUGAAGGCCCAAGCUAGGGGAUCGAACGGGAUU